rnacentral:rRNA from 1 species
UACGGAGGGGACUAGCGUUGUUCGGAAUUACUGGGCGUAAAGCGCACGUAGGCGGAUUUGUAAGUCAAGGGUGAAAUCCCGGGGCUCAACCUCGGAACUGCCUUUGAUACUGCAAAUCUCGAGUCCGGAAGAGGUGAGUGGAAUUCCUAGUGUAGAGGUGAAAUUCGUAGAUAUUAGGAAGAACACCAGUGGCGAAGGCGGCUCACUGGUCCGGUACUGACGCUGAGGUGCGAAAGCGUGGGGAGCAAACAGG